ensembl:lncRNA PURPL p53 upregulated regulator of p53 levels
GAGCUCUUGUGGUGACCUGGGAAUCAAUGUGUGAGGUGGUGCUAUGUAGCAGGAACCCCUCUUGCUUUGCAAAUAGUUUUUUGUUUGUUUUCCUUUUUGCCCAAUAGAGCCCUGCUCUACUGACCCUUCAAUGUGCCCGUGUGCCUAAAUAUUCCUGGUCGUGUGAAAAGAACCCAGGUAUUAGCUGAACUAAGGAGCACAAUUCUGCAACAUUUUGGCACCCAAACACGGGGCUUGAGAAAUGAAUGCAAUUGGAGAAACUGGUUGUUUUACCAGGCGUUGAUUGGAAAUGUGUGCUUCCCUUUAAGCAGUCAAGCUCAACUUGCAGAACUGAUGGGAACCCCUUGGGAAAACUGGCCUCAAAUGUUUGUCUACACAGUCCACAUACAGGGUUCUUAACCUGCGUUUUUACCUACAUUUUAGACUGACCCUGCUUGUGCCUGUGAACCAACCAACAAUCUCUGGCUGCAGCUCAGAAAGGACAAAAGAGAAUGGAUGAGGGAAACUUCCCAGGGCUUGUCUGGGUAUGCCCACAGUGGACUGGAGCCCAAAAUGCACACUGGAGGAAGUGGAUGGAGCCACGUGGAUGUCAUGCCUUAUGCAGGGGAGGAGCCUGCUCUCUUCAGCUCCUGUGGUAAUGUGGGAAUCGAUCUGUGAGGAAACACUUUCUGAAAAUGUCAGAACUCUUGAAAACAUGGAUGAGGAAAAGCAUAAGUACUGCUUUAUGCUUUUCUUAUGAAUUUUAAAAGAUGUAAUUUAAAGGUACUUUAAAGUGAUAUUUGUGCCCUUGUAACUGAUUCAAAGUAGACUGCUAAGGACAAUAAGUAAUAAGAGUCUACAAAUAUCAGUAAAUUAUGAGAAAAAACGGUCUAAUGGUACUUAAAAUUGCAUUGUGAUUUAUUAAAUAACAUUGAACAGCUCCACCUGUAACAUUAAGAUUCCAUUUGAGCAUAUAGAAAAUAUAUUUAUCGCAACCUGAAGUGAUUUGGAAAGUAUGCUGGGAAGAAAAUAUAUUUACAAAUUAGUCUCAGAGGGUAGGUAUCCUGUAGCCAGAUGGAAUAAGAAGAGAGGGAAGGGAGAUUUUGUUCAAAGGGGGAGCAUAAGCUAAGGAAUAAAGCCACAAACAAUGAUUAAAUUAGGUAAAGUGCAAUUAGCUGAAUAUUGCAUAAGCAUACAUAUGGGAAGAAGUGGAAAAAGGAGUGACAAUAUGAAGCUAAAGGGUUUGAAGUGUUCAAGAUAAUACUAGGCUUCCUAGCCUAUUCCGAGACAUCUUGUUUUAGAGUGCAAUAGAUAAGAACUCUAAGGAUGAAAGUAGGAGACAUGCAUUCUAGUCUACGUUUUGGUUAAUGGACUGAAAGUGAAAGAUGGACUGAAAUUGGGGGAUGGAAUAAAAAUGUGAUAGAAUAGAAAAUAGAAAAAGCAAUUAGCCUAAUGUCAUUGAUACUUAGAGAAAAUAUGGAAAAUAGUAAAUUAGUGAUAUAUAUCUUUUCUAAUUCACCAGGGUGAGUGAACAAAGGAAAUCGGAUUUAAAAGUAUUCAUGACAUAGAUGCAAUAAGGUUUCUCAGUCAGACAUAGCAAAUUGAGGGAAGGGAAGAUUUAGAGGAUUGGAAAAUGUCUUGCUUGUAGACUAAUAGGAUAUCAAUAAGCCAUAUGAGCAAUAAUUUGAAAUAGUUUUUGUAAAGUAUCAUGAAGGUAAACCCUGUUUAGAACAAAUUAGAUUUGAAGUACUUGUGACAAAUGCAAUUGACAAUGCCUUUAUGCAGCUGGAAAAUUGUUGCUUAGCAGAAAAGCUUGUGCUGGACAAAUAGAUGUCCAAAUUGAAUAGAUGUUUUCUUAAGCUGAACUAAUUGAGACAAAUAUCCUUAUUAAAUCAAAAAAUUAAAAAUUGAAAUAACUUACCUAUGAUAGGGUAAAUAAUGUUAUUAAUAUACACAAGAAAUAUGUGAUGUAUAUGUGUAUGUACAUAUGUAUACAUAGUAAUAAUACAUAGUGCUAUUUUUAAAUGAUAUUUUACAUAGUGCUUUUUUAAAUGAUUUUUCAAUCAUCGUUGUUGGUCUGUGUUAUUUUAAUCAUCAAAGCUGAUUGAUUUCUGUUUUUGUGUUUUUUUUUGUUUUUUUUGAGGUGGAGUCUCACUCUGUCACCCAUGGUGGAGUACAGUAGUGCGGUCUUAGCUCACUACAAACUCCACUUCCCUGAUUCAAGUAAUUCUUGUGCCUCAGCCUCUCGAGUAGCUUGGAUUGCAGGCAUGCACCACCACGAGCUGCUAAAUUUUUUGUAUUUUUUGUAGAGGGGUUUUGCCAUGUUGGCCAAGCUGGUCUCAAACUCCUGACCUCAAGUGAUCCGCCCUGGCUUCCCAAGCCCAGCUGAUUCCUGUUUAAAUAAAAACUUACAAAGAUCUUCCCACAAGUACUUUAUCUUACAAUUUACUGAACAAUAGAGGCAGUGAAGAUGUUUUUCAGAAAGCAAUUGUGAUCCUGACAUUUUCUUCUUAUAAUCCUGUGCUUUCCUCAUUUUUUUAUAUUAAAAGUAAUAGUUCUUGUGAUGGCAACUAGGAUUUGUAACAACAUGUACCCUCAUUUCCUGCAUGACCUUUUUUAUGUCACUUCUUCACAUGCAAAGUAUACUCCCUCAGUGUCAUUACAUUAUUUGAUUUUUGCCCUUUCCCUCACCUUUCCAUGUGUUUAUUUGCCUAUGCCCAUCUCCUAGUCACAUUUUAUCUAGUUAACGCCAACUUGACUUUCAAUGCUGUUCAAGAUUUACCUCAAUCUCAAGUGUUUUCUCUUUAUAUUCCAUACACGCUUAGCUUGGCUGCCAAUCCUCUUGGCUGCCAAAGAAUCCCAAAUUAUCUCUUUCAAAAAUACAAGAAAUAAAGGAUGGAGGAUAGGAAGGAGGGUGGUCAGGAAAGAACAAAGAAAGGAGGGGAGAGGAAAAAAAGAGAGAAAGAAAGAGAAUUAAAGUUAAGGAGGAAGAAUUUCACACUGAAUUAAAAUUGAUAAUAUUCAGGAAUGAUUUUAUAGUAGGCAUACAUUGAUAAAUAUUAGUUAAAUUAAUGAAUUAUUCCAAAAGAUCAUGAUUUGUAAAAAUUACCCUGAAGCACUUUAGGAAUAUUACAUUGAAAUAGGUAUGCAAUUUCUAAAGAAACUGGACUGCAAAAAUAGCCAUUGUGUGUACCUGUGGACCAGAAUAUUAUAUUUUGCUUAAGUUUGAAGUGUUAAAGUGCCCAACGUGCUCUUAUUUUAACCUAGCAAAUUUUCAGCAGAACUUAAGCUCAUAUAGUAUUUGAUUUUUUCAUUUCUCACAACUGUUGGAAUUCUGUUUUAUUGAAAAUUAUACAAUAAAAUGUUAAAAAAUCUUUGUUCCUGCAGUUAUGCAAUCUUAUGCCAAAGUCAAUAAAUUAUUAAAUUAAAAUCAAACCCACUAAGCCUAACAAUUUGAGAAAAUGAUUAUUAAAACAUAUACCAUUUAGAAGGGCAAUGCCUUUUUAAUAUUAUAGUGAAGACAACCCUAUCAAUUAUUUAAUACACCAAGAAUACAAGGAUAUAAAAUCUUUUUCUCUCAUAUAUCACAUUAUCUGAUGUAUUUAGCUGUGAUGACAUUCCAGAAAACAUCACUUUUUAAAAUUUCUAAGAUUUUAUUAUGUUGCUAGCAAAUCGAUUUUUUUCAAGUACUGUAACAAAAUCCCUAAAUGGGCUUUAUGAGAACUAUUUUCAGUGUGAUAUUAAUCAUAUUUUAUUUAUCAUCCAUACAUAGAUGGUAGCUUAUCUGGUAUUCCUAGUGUUUGAAGUGAAGAGUAACACACACACACAUCCCAAUACCAAUUUAAUUGAUAAAUAUAUAAUCAUUUGUUUUCAAAUAUUUAUGUUGAUACUUGCUUGUGUACUUACUUGUAAUGUAGGUCUGUAAAAGGGACUGUUUUCUUUCUGUGAAACUGAAGCUUAAAGCAGUGCUUGUCACAAAUUCAAAAUCACCUUGCUUUGUCAACAUUUUCAGAUGUUUUUGGCUCAGUCUGAUGACAGCAUCAGUGCAGUAAAGGGAUCUUAUUGAAAUGUUUUAACUAAAGAUAAAAUGCCACCACUAGGAGAAAAAUAAAAUCAAGGAAAUAAACAGAAAAUCAAUAAAUGUGAAAUGUAUUAUAAAUUUAUAUAAUAACAAUGUUGUAUGCUAUAAACAUCUCACUUUGUAAAAUUAACAAGAAUUCAGUGAGGCAGAUCAUUUUCUAUGUGUUCAGAAGUCAAGUCUUUGAUGGCUAAUUUUUAUAUUACUUCAUUACAAUAUCUCUACUGAAGCAAAAUAAUUGCAAAUCUUUUUGAAUGAAAUCAAUUUAUCUUUAAUUUUAGAUAAUAUUUGGUAUAGUUGGCAUAGUUUUGUCACAAAGCAUAGCUAACAUCAAUGUAGCCUUACGACUUCAAAUGUCUUUAUAGAUCUUUUCUGAAAUUGCAAAAUUUUACUUUGAAAUUAUUGUUAAUAUUUACGUUGCACAACCACAAAUGUAGAAAUAAAAUUAUAAAGUCUCCAGAUAAUGUUUUAUUUUAACCACACAUAUGUUGUGAUAGUUUCAAAUAAAUGAAAGCUCUACUGAUU